UAAGCGACUUUCCCUCAACAUUUCCCUUCAUAUUCACUUCAUCAGUCUUUCACACUUGCAUAUUCCUUGCUUCUUCACUCAACUAUUCUUUUUCACCUCCCAUGGAAGCGCUGCGGAUCGCUCCCUCGAGAUAUCCCGCCGCAAAAUUGAUUCAAAACAGUGGCAUCAGCUGUUUUAGGCAGCUGGGAUUUGCUUCAUUUUCGUCCGGGAAGAGAAAAGAUCGUUCCUUUUGUGUCAGAGCGAGAUCGUAUAAGGAAGAGAGUGAGUUUGUGAGCAGGGGCAGCGGGAAUGCCAAGAAUCAGGAGACGAAGGAGGGAGUUUUGGUGGGAGAUGAGAGAGAUGAGAUUGACUCUGUUGUUGGAUUUCAUUCCAUUCCUCAUUCUGUAAUCAGCAAUGAAAGAGUCUCGGAAACUCAAGAAGAUGAAACAGAGAAUCUGUCUGAAGAAAUCAAAAGUAGUGCUAAAACUUCCCCCAGCACAACCUACAAUGUGGUUUUCGUAACUUCUGAAGCAGCCCCAUAUUCGAAAACCGGAGGCUUGGGAGAUGUCUGUGGCUCCUUACCAAUAGCAUUGGCUGCACGAGGUCACCGUGUAAUGGUUGUAUCACCGAGAUAUAUGGAUGGAGGUUUAUCAGAUAAAAAAUUUGCCAAUGCCGUUGAUACUGAAAGGCCGACCAAGAUCCAUUGCUUUGGUGGUGUACAGGAGGUUGGAUUAUUCCAUGAAUACAGGGCUGGAGUUGAUUGGGUCUUUGUAGACCACCCCUCAUACCACCGACCUGGAACUCCAUAUGGCGAUGGUUUUGGUGCGUUUGGUGAUAAUCAGUUUCGGUUCACUUUACUUUGUCACACGGCUUGUGAAGCUCCCUUAGUGCUGCCGCUGGGAGGGUAUACAUAUGGAGAUAAAUGUCUAUUUAUAGCAAACGACUGGCAUGCCGGCCUAGUUCCUGUGCUCUUAGCCGCAAAAUAUCGUCCACACGGUGUAUACAAGGCUGCGCGGAGUAUAAUUGUGAUACAUAAUCUAGCACAUCAGGGUGUGGAGCCAGCAGUCACGUAUAAGAAUUUCGGAUUGCCUCCUGGGUGGUACAAGGCGCUGGAAUGGGUGUUCCCAACUUGGGCGAGGACACAUGCUCUCGACCCUGGUGAAGCAGUCAAUGUUCUGAAAUCUGCUAUAGUCACUGCUGACAGAAUAGUGACAGUAAGCCAGGGUUACGCCUGGGAAAUAACCACCCCUGACGGUGGAUAUGGGUUACACGACCUAUUAAGCAGUCGUAAGUCAGUUUUGACAGGAAUUACUAACGGAGUUGACACCGAUGAAUGGAAUCCAUCUACUGAUGCACAUCUUCCUUCCCUCUACUCGAUUGACAACCUCUCUGGAAAGGCUGAGUGUAAGGCUGCGCUACAAGCAGAACUCGAUCUUCCAGUCCGACCCAAUUGUCCUCUGAUUGGGUUUAUCGGGAGACUUGACUACCAGAAAGGCGUUGACAUUCUUCUUUCAGCCGCCCCACAUGUUAUGUAUGAUGAUGUCCAACUUGUAAUGCUCGGAUCCGGAGAGAAGCAAUACGAAGACUGGAUGAGGCAACUAGAAUCUACUUUUAAGGACAAGUAUCGGGGUUGGGUUGGGUUCAACGUCCCGAUCUCUCAUAGGAUUACAGCAGGCUGUGACAUACUCGUGAUGCCUUCGAGAUUCGAGCCGUGUGGGCUGAACCAGCUGUAUGCAAUGAGAUACGGCACCGUUCCCGUUGUCCACAGCACCGGGGGGCUCAGAGACACGGUCCAAAAUUUCGACCCAUAUGCGAAGGAAGGUGCGGGUGAAGGUACCGGGUAUGUGUCACUUUGAUACGUUAUAGACGUAUCUGUAAGGAUGAUCGGCGGCGGCUUUGCUCGGCGAUCGGUUGUUCCGCACGCGAGAGAGGUUCUCGUCGGGCAGAGAAAGAAGUUAUUGAAAGCUUUGACCCUAGGGUGGUUCGACCUCCUACCUCUCGGGAAAGAACCACUAAGAAAACCCGAGAUGGGGCUUAUAGAUGCGCCCGACACUUACAGUAUAAUCAACACACUAAUAAUAAUAUAAUAUGCUUCAAAUACACAACGUAAAUAACUAUCUCAUUUCGGCACACAAUCGACAAGGCGAUUGGGUGGCCGAGUGUUUCUCUUUGGACGACUGCUACUCUUCUUCUUGUUGGUUUGACCCUGUUGCUGCAACUUGUUGGAGCUAUUCUUUAGUUGAUCGGAAGUCUGGUGAUGGUCUUGAGAUGCCACUUGAACAUGAGUUUGAGGUGAUCCUGUAUCAACUCCCCCGCGGAUGAGAGAGUCCUUGUCCUCAAGGAAUAGAUCAGGGAAACGACGCUGCACUAUUGAAGUUGGUUCCCACGUGACAGAAUCAUCAGGCCAACGAAGAAGAACGUGAUCGACG